ACCUGAUGGCUCAGUUGGUAGAGCAUAUGACUCUUGAUCUUGAAGUUGUGAGUUUGAGCCCCACAUUGGGUU
rnacentral:tRNA from 1 species